AGUGUACGCUGGCGGUAGGCCUAACACAUGCAAGUCGAACGGCAGCACAGUAAGAGCUUGCUCUUACGGGUGGCGAGUGGCGGACGGGUGAGGAAUACAUCGGAAUCUACUUUUUCGUGGGGGAUAACGUAGGGAAACUUACGCUAAUACCGCAUACGACCUACGGGUGAAAGCAGGGGAUCUUCGGACCUUGCGCGAUUGAAUGAGCCGAUGUCGGAUUAGCUAGUUGGCGGGGUAAAGGCCCACCAAGGCGACGAUCCGUAGCUGGUCUGAGAGGAUGAUCAGCCACACUGGAACUGAGACACGGUCCAGACUCCUACGGGAGGCAGCAGUGGGGAAUAUUGGACAAUGGGCGCAAGCCUGAUCCAGCCAUACCGCGUGGGUGAAGAAGGCCUUCGGGUUGUAAAGCCCUUUUGUUGGGAAAGAAAAGCAGCAGGCUAAUACCCCGCUGUUCUGACGGUACCCAAAGAAUAAGCACCGGCUAACUUCGUG
rnacentral:rRNA from 1 species